AAUUAUUAUAUAUAAAACCAAAAUUUAUAUAAAAAUUUAUAUAAAAACUAUUUUAUCAAAAAAUAAAAAUAACUGAAAAGGAAAUAAUUUUUGUAAAAAAAAAACUUAUGGUACCUUUAGUAUCAGGGUAAAUUAAAUAAAUAAUAUAAAAUCUAUUUCCCGAAAUCAAUUGACCAAAAAUCUUAAAUUAAUAUUUAUAACAAAAAAUUUACUAAUAAAAUUUUAGAAGAAAAAUUCCAAUCAAAAUUGAUUAUAUCUGGUUUUCUAAGAAAUUAAUUUAAUUAAAGAAUAAAGACAAAAAUUAUUAUAUAAAAUAAUAUUCAUAAAAUAUUAAGGAUAAGCUUAAUAUAAAAUUAAAAUUUAUAAAUAACAAAUUAUUAUUAAGCUUAAAAUAAACAAUUUAGUUUUUAUUAGAUUAAAAUGAUUAAAUAAUAUUUUAUUUAACUUAAAAAAUUAUUAGAAUUAAAAUAAAAAAUAAAUAAUUAAUUUAAAUAAUGAUUUAAUUAGUAUAAAAUCAUAAUAAACAUAAAAUGAACUCGACAAAAAUAGUUCUCAAAUGUUUAACAAAAACAUUUUUUUUAGAAAAUUAAAAAUAAAUUCUGCCCUAUGAAAAUUUAAAUGGCUGCAGUAUAAUGACUGUACAAAGGUAGCAUAAUAAUUAGUUUAUUAAUUAUAAACUGGAAUGAAUGAAUAAAUGAAAAACAAAUUUUAUUUUUAUUUUAAUUAUAAAUUUAUAUUUAAGUCAAAAAGCUUAAUUAAAUAUUAGGGACGAGAAGACCCUAUAGAACUUAAAUAUAUUUUUAAAAAACAAAAUUUAAGAAUAAGUUUUAAUUUUUGAAAAAUUGUUUUGUUGGGGUGACAAUUAAACUAUAAAAACUUUAAUUUUUUAAAUCACAAAUAAAUGUAUUUUUGAUCCAAAAUUAAUUGAUAAUAAGAAAAAGUUACCUUAGGGAUAACAGCGUAAUUUUAAUGGAAAGUUCAAAUUUAUAUUAAAGGUUGCGACCUCGAUGUUGAAUUAAGAUAAACUUAAGGGGUAGAUUCUUUAUGAAAUAGUCUGUUCGACUAAAUAUUCUUACAUGAUUUGAGUUAAGACCGGUGAAAGCCAGGUUGGUUUCUAUCUUAAUAAUAAAUUAUUUAUUAGUACGAAAGGACCAUAAAUAUCUAUUUAAAUAGAUUAAAUUUAAUA
rnacentral:rRNA from 1 species